rnacentral:rRNA from 1 species
UGCAAGUCGAGCGGANGAGGGGAGCUUGCUCCCUGAUUCAGCGGCGGACGGGUGAGUAAUGCCUAGGAAUCUGCCUGGUAGUGGGGGACAACGUUUCGAAAGGAACGCUAAUACCGCAUACGUCCUACGGGAAAAAGCAGGGGACCUUCGGGCCUUGCGCUAUCAGAUGAGCCUAGGUCGGAUUAGCUAGUUGGUGGGGUAAAGGCUCACCAAGGCGACGAUCCGUAACUAGUCUGAGAGGAUGAUCAGUCACACUGGAACUGAGACACGGUCCAGACUCCUACGGGAGGCAGCAGUGGGGAAUAUUGGACAAUGGGCGAAAGCCUGAUCCAGCCAUGCCGCGUGUGUGAAGAAGGUCUUCGGAUUGUAAAGCACUUUAAGUUGGGAGGAAGGGCAUUAACCUAAUACGUUAGUGUUUUGACGUUACCGACAGAAUAAGCACCGGCUAACUUCGUGCCAGCAGCCGCGGUAAUACGAAGGGUGCAAGCGUUAAUCGGAAUUACUGGGCGUAAAGCGCGCGUAGGUGGUUCAGCAAGUUGGAUGUGAAAGCCCCGGGCUCAACCUGGGAACUGCAUCC